rnacentral:rRNA from 1 species
UACAGAGGUCUCAAGCGUUGUUCGGAUUCAUUGGGCGUAAAGGGUGCGUAGGUGGCGUGGUAAGUCGGAUGUGAAAUCCCGGGGCUCAACCCCGGAACUGCAUUCGAUACUGCCUUGCUAGAGUACUGGAGAGGAGAUUGGAAUUUACGGUGUAGCAGUGAAAUGCGUAGAUAUCGUAAGGAAGGCCGGUGGCGAAAGCGAGCCUCUGGACAGUUACUGACGCUGAUGCACGAAGGCCAGGGGAGCAAACGGG